GGGGAUUUAGCUCAGUGGUAGAGCGCUUGCCUAGGAAGCGCAAGGCCCUGGGUUCGGUUCCCAGCACCG
rnacentral:tRNA from 1 species